UACGUAGGGGGCAAGCGUUGUCCGGAAUCAUUGGGCGUAAAGCGCGCGUAGGCGGCCCGGUAAGUCCGCUCUGAAAGUCCAGGGCUCAACCCUGGAAAGCGGGUGGAUACUGCCGGGCUAGAAUCCGGAAGAGGCGAGUGGAAUUCCUGGUGUAGCGGUGGAAUGCGCAGAUAUCAGGAAGAACACCCGUGGCGAAAGCGGCUCUCUGGAACGGUACUGACGCUGAGACGCGAAAGCGUGGGGAGCGAACAGG
rnacentral:rRNA from 1 species